rnacentral:rRNA from 1 species
UACGUAGGGUGCGAGCGUUGUCCGGAAUUAUUGGGCGUAAAGGGCUCGUAGGCGGUCUGUCGCGUCGGGAGUGAAAACUCAGGGCUUAACCCUGAGCCUGCUUCCGAUACGGGCAGACUAGAGGUAUGCAGGGGAGAACGGAAUUCCUGGUGUAGCGGUGAAAUGCGCAGAUAUCAGGAGGAACACCGGUGGCGAAGGCGGUUCUCUGGGCAUUACCUGACGCUGAGGAGCGAAAGCAUGGGGAGCGAACAGG